rnacentral:rRNA from 1 species
AACGAACGCUGGCGGCGUGGAUAAGACAUGCAAGUCGAACGGGGUUAGUAGCAAUACUAACUUAGUGGCGUACGGGUGCGUAACACGUGAGUAAUCUGCCGAGAAGUGGGGGAUAGCUUGCCGAAAGGCAAAUUAAUACCGCAUAUGGCCAUUCUCUAAUUGGAGAAAAAGCUAAAGCAGCAAUGCGCUUCUUGAUGAACUCGCGGCCUAUCAGCUAGAUGGCGGGGUAACGGCCCACCAUGGCUAUGACGGGUAGCUGGUCUGAGAGGACGACCAGCCACACUGGAACUGAGACACGGUCCAGACACCUACGGGUGGCAGCAGUCGAGAAUUUUUCACAAUGGGGGAAACCCUGAUGGAGCGACGCCGCGUGGAGGAUGAAGGCCCUCGGGUUGUAAACUCCUGUCAUGCGGGAACAAGAAAGUGAUAGUACCGCAAGAGGAAGAGACGGCUAACUCUGUGCCAGCCGCCGCGGUAAUAC